GAAGAAGAAAAUGCAAGCAUAGGAAAGGAUAACCUAUGAAAGUAACAUGUUUUAAAAGACGGAAAGAGAAAGAAUCAAAAUAUAAAUAGAGUGAUGUUUCUUUCAGAUUGAUGAUACUUUCUUAUAAGAAUGGGAAAUAAUCACAUACUGUUCUGGGAUUUUAAAAAUUGAAUCCUUAUCAUCACCUCAUUCAGUUAACAGAAAAACAGAAACAACAAUUUAUUCGGUAAUGACCCAAGUACUUCUGCUUCUGCUGCUGUUACAGGUUCCUCCUUUGUGUAACUUGCCAGAUUUUAAGAGCAGUGUCAACCUGACUCCUACCAUCGGAAACACAAGAAAACCUUGGACAAAAUCAAUAAUAAAAAUAAUUAUUAAAUGGACAUUUAAGUAGCUAAGUUGAAUAAUUGCCCAAUGGACAUAUAAAGCCAGCAUCUGCUUCCUCUCCAACUCAUUUUGAGCAUUCUCUUCUCAAAAGCAUUCAAUGCUGCCAUAUCACUUCUUUGUUACCAGGCUAUGCUUUAUCCAGAGUGCCUUCAGGACUAAUAUUUUCUGAUCCCACUCUUGGUCUAACUACAGAAAAUUAGCAGUAAUCUGUCUUAUUCUCUCAAGGCUUUCCCACCAGCACAGGUAAGCUACAUUGUUAAUAAUACGUAUUUUAAAUGCACCCAAAUAAUACAGUCAUAUUAAGAGAUAACUUCACUGCC
rnacentral:lncRNA from 1 species